GCUUAAUCGAGACAUCUUUAUUAUUUUUAAACUACUGCAAAUCAUCAAAAUGGCUUUCAUAAAGAAGCAACCACUUAACUUAAAAAAAGGGGGGGGGAUGUAUUUUGUUAAUUUAUCUGAGCCAGAAAUUUUUCCGCGCAAACGUUUUAUUCCGGUUUUUUUUUCGAUGCUGGUAAUCAAUUUUUUUUCAACAUUUAACACUAAAAUGUAUGGGGAAACUCUUGAUUUAGAAUAUUUUUGUAUCAUCUGUAGGACCUUUUUUUUUUUUUUUUUUAUCCAAUUGGGGUUCGGCAU
rnacentral:lncRNA from 1 species